AACGGGACGUAUUCCCGCGGCAUGCUGAUCUCGCGAUUACUAGCAACUCCGACUUCAUGUGGGCGGGUUGCAGCCCACAAUCCGAACUGGGACCACUUUUUUGAGUUCCGCUCCCCCUCGCAGGAUCGCUUCUCUCUGUGGUGGCCAUUGUAGCACGUGUGUAGCCCAGGUCAUAAGGGGCAUGAUGAUUUGACGUCGUCCCCACCUUCCUCCGAGUUGUCCCCGGCAGUCCCUCUAGAGUCCUCGCCUCUACGCGUUAGUAACUAAAGGUAAGGGUUGCGCUCGUUGCGGGACUUAACCCAACAUCUCACGACACGAGCUGACGACAACCAUGCACCACCUGUCUCAGUAUGUCCGAAGACACUCUGUAUCUCUACAGGAUUUACUGGAUGUCAAGACCUGGUAAGGUUCUUCGCGUUGCGUCGAAUUAAACCACAUGCUCCGCUGCUUGUGCGGGCCCCCGUCAAUUCCUUUGAGUUUCAACCUUGCGGCCGUACUCCCCAGGCGGAAUGCUUAUUGUGUUAACUGCGGCACAGAAGGGGUCGAUACCCCCUACACCUAGCAUUCAUCGUUUACAGUGUGGACUACCAGGGUAUCUAAUCCUGUUUGCUCCCCACACUUUCGCGCCUCAGCGUCAGUUACAGUCCAGUAAGUCGCCUUCGCCACUGGUGUUCCUCCCAAUCUCUACGCAUUUCACCGCUACACUGGGGAAUUCCACUU
rnacentral:rRNA from 1 species